rnacentral:lncRNA from 1 species
CCGAAUGUAAGGAAAAAGAGUAUUAACACAACACCCCAACCAGGUCAGUUCGGAUCAGAGUACAUGAGAACGGUCAUGACUUUGUGAACGGGUGUUAAGUCGUCAGCUCGGCCUUGGUUCCUUAGCUCGGUGAGAACUUGCUGGAUUGCUCCCGUGAGCUUUUUGGUACGCGACCUGGUCAUCGGUCCAGUUGGCAUGGCCAGGACGUCGUUCUGGUCGGCUCCUUGGUCUUGUACCCCGUCCUGAACCUCGACUUCGCAUGGCCAGGACGUCGUUCUGGUCGGCUCCUUGGUCUUGGUACGCGACCUGGUCAUCGGUCCAGUUGGCAUGGCCAGGACGUCGUUCUGGUCGGCUCCUUGGUCUUGUACUCCGUCCUGAACCUCGACUUCGCUUAGCUCGGCCACUUGGUCUUGUGUUCCGGGCUGAGCCUCGAUCUGUUCCUCAUCCUGAGCUCCCAUCGGUUCCAUGAUUCUAUCAUCCCCUCCCUCCCUCUUGAAAAGGACUUGUCCUCAAGUCGGCUUCAUCUGCGUAAAAAGGAAUGAUAUCAGCAAUAUUGAAACUUGAGCUAACUGAGUACUUACCUUGGAGGUCGAUCUUGUAAGAGUUGUCGUUGAUCCGCUCUAGGAUAGUGAAUGGUCCGUCCACUCUUGGCUUCAAUUUAGACUUUCUCUCUUCCGGAAACCUCUCUUUCCUUAGGUAGAUCCACACUUGGUCUCCGGGCUCAAACAUCUUUUUGGUCUUUCCUUUAUUGGCGUACUUCUGGAAUUGCUCCGUCUUUCUUUCGAUGUUUUGCCUUGCCUUUUCAUGCAUCUUCUUCACCAGAUCGGCUUUCUUUUUCCCAUCCAUGUUCUCACGCUCAGCCAUUGGUAAAGGGGUUAGAUCCAAAGGUGUAAGAGGAUUAAAACCAUACACUAACUGAAAUGGUGAAAACAAAGUUGUAGAAUGAACAGCUCGGUUAUAAGCGAACUCAACAUGAGGUAAACAUUCCUACCAAGUCCUAAGGUUCUUUUUAAUGACCGAUCUCAAGAGAGCUGACAAGGUCCUAUUGACCACUUCGGUUUGACCGUCGGUCUGAGGGUCACAAGUGGUGGAAAAGCACAAUUUAGUUCCUAGCUUAGCCCACAGCGUCUUCCAAAAGUAACUAAGGAAUUUAGUGUCCCGAUCUGACACUAUGGUUCUAGGAACUCCAUGUAAAUGAACAAUUUCCCUAAAGAACAGAUCGGCUAUGUUGGAAGCAUCAUCGGUUUUGUGGCAAGGAACAAAGUGUGCCAUCUUAGAGAACCUAUCUACUAUAACAAAGAUAGAGUCCUUACCUCGGCGGGUCCUAGGUAACCCGAGGACGAAGUCCAUGGAGAUGUCUGUCCACGACUCGGUAGACAUGGGUAAUGGAGUGUACAUUCCGGCGCCCUGGCUACGACCUUUGGCUAGUUUGCAAACCGUGCACCUUUGACAUAUUCACUCCACAUCCUUCCUGAGGUGCGGCCAGUAAAAAUGGUCUUGGACCACACUUAGCGUCUUAAGAACUCAGAAAUGUCUCAUCAAGCCUCUCCUGUGUGCCUCCCUGACAAUCAAGUCACGCAUAGAAGUGUUAGGUAUACACAAUUUAUGCUCAUAAAACAAGUACCCAUCACUCUGGUAAUAUUUUCCAUAGGCAAACUUGGAACUGGCGUGAUAAACUUCUUGGAAAUCCAGGUCGGUUGCGUAGGCUUCUUUCAUCAUCUCAAAUCCAAGUAUCUUGGCAUCAAGCGUCGAGAUCAGGGCAUAACGUCGGGAUAGCGCGUCCGCCACAACAUUCUCCUUUCCUUGCUUGUACUGAAUCACAUAAGGGAAGGUCUCGAUGAACUCAACCCAUCUCGCAUGUCGCUUGUUCAGAUUCUGUUGUCCUUUGAGAUGCUUCAAGGACUGGUGAUCUGUAUGGAUAACAAACUCCUUGGGCCACAAGUAGUGUUUCCAAGUCUGGAGAGCUCGGACCAAAGCAGAGAGCUCCUUGUCGUAGGUCGGGUAGUUAAGCGUUGCUCCUCCAAGAUUUUUGCUAAAGUAAGCGAUAGGUCGCUUCUCCUGCAUGAGCACGGCUCCAAUUCCCACUCCGGAUGCAUCACACUCGAUCUCAAAGGUCUUGAGAAAAUCAGGCAGAGAGAGUAAGGGUGCGUGUGUAAGCCGGUGCUUGAGGGUAUUGAACGCUUCCUCCUGAGCUCGUUCCCAUUUAAAUCCAACAUCCUUUUUGAUGACCUCGGUGAGAGGGGCUGCAAUCGUACUGAAGUCUCGGACAAACCGUCGAUAGAACCCGGCUAGACCGUGGAAGCUGCGAAUUUCUCCAACCGUCUUGGGGCUUGGCCAGUCUCGGAUAGCCUUGAUCUUCUCCUCGUCCACCUGUAUUCCCUGUGAACUGACAACAAAGCUUAGAAACACUACGUUAUCCGUACAAAAAGAACACUUCCUAAAGUUUCCAAAAAAACGUUCCUUCCUAAGGACUUCUAGCACUUGUGUUUAAAUGAUUCACAUGCUCUUCUAGACUCUUACUGUAUAUCAGGAUGUCGUCGAAGUAGACCACUACAAAAACGCUUAUGAACGACCUAAGCACAUGAUUCAUUAAUCGCAUAAAGGUACUAGGUGCGAUAGUUAGGCCAAAUGGCAUGACCAGCCAUUCAUACAAACCAUGUCUGGUUUUGAACGCGGUCUUCCACUCAUCUCCUUCUUUCAUUCGGAUCUGAUGGUAACCACUCUUUAAAUCUAUCUUUGUGAACACACUAGACCCAUAGAGUUCAUCUAGCAUGUCAUCAAGACGAUGGAUUGGGUGGCGAUACUUUACCGUAGUGUUGUUGAUAGCUCGGCAAUCAACACACAUUCGCCAGGUUCUAUCCUUCUUUGGCACCAAGAGCACGGGCACGGCACAAGGACUUAGACUUUUGUGGAUGUAGCCCUUGGCCAUUAACUCAUCGACCUGGCGUUGGAGCUCCUUGGUUUCUGUCGGAUUGGUGCGGUACGCAGGUCGGUUAGGUAAGGACGCUCCAGGGACGAGGUCGAGCUGGUGCUCAAUACCUCGGAUCGGUGGUAGUCCGCCUGGAUUGUCUUCGGGAAAUACGUCCGCAUAUUCCUGCAAAACCCAAGAAAUCCUGCUCGGAAGUUCCGGCUCGGAGUUAGACGUGCUAGCCAAAGCGGUUUUGAACAUAAGAAGAAUGAAAGGUUGUCUCUCAAGCACAGCCUGUUUUAUCUCUCUCGGCCUCACAAAAAGAGUCUCUCUUCUCACGGGUUGAGUGUUUAAGGCUUUUUGUGGUGGCUCACUCAGUGUUUCACUCUCAUUUUUAGUGGAGGUGUUUAGGGAAUCACUCACGGUAGUUUUUCCUUUGCUACUCCUUUCCAGUUGGAUUUGAUCCCGGUAGACCUCGUGUAGGGAUAGAGGCGCCAGCACGACCUUACGUCCUUGGUGUUCAAACGAAUGUUUGUUGGUGAACCCGUCGGGGACUGUUUUCCGGUCGAACUGUCAUAGCCGUCCUAACAGAAUAUGUCCGGCCUCCAUAGGUAAGACGUCACACAACACUUCAUCUUCAUAUCGUCCGAUCUUAAAUGGCACGGUGACUUGCUUGGUGACUUUGAGUUGCCUUUGGUUAUUAAGCCAUCUGAGAUUGUACGGAUGCGGAUGCUUGAUGGUUUGCAUCCCGAGCUUCUCCACCAUACUCUGGCUCGCCACAUUCGUGCAACUCUCUCCAUCUAUGACCAUGCUGCAGGUCUUCCCCAUGACUAUACAUCGUGUGUGGAAAAGAUUUUUCCUUUUAUCCUCUUCUUGGACCGGCUCUUGUGACACUAGCACUCGCCGUGCUACCAAUAGCUCUCCUCCAGCCGCAUACUCUUCUUCAGGCUCCUCAUCAUAUUUUGGCUCGGCUUCACUUUCGGCUUCGGACACGACCUCGCCAGUGCCUAGAAGGAUCAUGGCUCUCUGGUUUGGACAUUUUUUCGCAUAGUCACCCUUGCCUCGGCACUUAAAACAUUCAAUAUCCCGAGUCCGGGCUGAGGUUACCUCGGCUUUGCCUUUGAGGUCGGUGCUUUGACCGGGCUUGACUUCGGACUUCGGCCGCGUUGGAUAGACAGCCUUGUCUUCUCGGUAGGUCGGUCGCGAACUGGAUCCGGUAGUGAAUCGAUUGGUUCCCUUGCGCCUGAGUUGCUGUUCCAAGAGGAUUGCUUUGUGUAACAUCUCGUACAUGUCCUGGUACUCCUGAAGUUCCAUUCGGUCUUGAAGGUCUCGGUUUAGACCGCUCAAGAAUCUCGCCAUCGUUGCGUCAUCAGGUUCAAAGACAUCGGCUUUGAUCAUAAGCCUCUCCAUCUCUUGGUGAUAGUCUUCCACAGACUUGGUUCCUUGAGUAAGACAUCUGAGCUUGGUGUGCAGCUCGCGUUGAUAAUGCGCGGGCACGAACCGUUGCCUCAUUAAAGUAGCCAUCUCUUCCCAGGUUUCAACAGGCCGUUCUCCGUUUCUUCUUCUACUGAUCACGAUCUGAUCCCACCAAUCGAUCGCGUAGCCGUUGAACUCUGAAGCAGCUAGGUUUAUCUUCUUCCUCUCUGGAAGAUCUUGACAUCCAAAGAUGAUGUCUACCUUCUUUUCCCAUUCCAGGAAGGCGUCCGGGUCGCUCUUGCCAUAGAACGCUGGGAUCCGGAGCUUCAUUCCUCCGAGGUUGUUGUCGUUUCGGCCUCUGGCCGGUUCGGCUUCGUAACGCUGCUGUGGCCGUCCUCCUUCAUAACGGUCGUUUGGGUUUCUCGCGGGCAUGGCAUUUCCUCGGUCUCGGAUUCCUCCAGCUCGGCCACGAAACAUUCGGUUGCCUCGCGGUCUCACUCGGCUACUACCAGAUGAAUGGUUGUUGUCGUAGAAAGGGUUGUCGAUCUCAGGUUCCUGGUUCCGAUCUCGGCGGAUGUGUAUAGGUUCCUCACGGUUUUGAUCGUUUACUUCUGCUGGCCUCGGCUGACCUUCAAGUCGCUCCAUUCGUUGGCUCAUGCGCUCCAUCAUCUCGGUGAUCUGAUUAAGCUUGGCUUCCAUCUCUCUGGGGUGUACCAACGAACGUGAUUGUCGUCUCGGAAUGUAUAGAACUCACAAUCGUCCAAAGAGAAAUCGGAUGACAUACAAGUACCUCGCAAAAAUUAAACAAACACGUUAGUAAUCAAAUUCCUCACAAGUGUUUUCCCUCUUUGUUCACUCACUCUCUUAAUGACCUCACAACACACUAGAGUUUCUCUCCGGUUCUAAGCAAACUAAAUCGACAAAUCGACUUAAGCCUCAAUCGAAUCGGUGAAUCAAGCAAGUUAGACGUUUUAAGAGAUAAGAAAAAUAGAUAGGAAGAAAAGAAUUCUGAUCGUUUUUUUUUUUUUUUAACUUUUGGACUUCUUUCUUUUUUGACAUUUGAACUUCCUUUUUUUUUUUUUUAAAUGAUCGAUUUACAAGAGAAAGAUGAGAAAAGAUAGAAUUCUAAAAGAAAAGAAAGAUAGUACCGAUUCACAAGUGCGUGGCUCUGAUACCACUUGAUAGAAGACCGUCCUAGAAUUGUCACACACUUGGCUCGGUUGAGGUUGAUAGGCCUUGAAUUCAAACCGGUUCGUGAAAGAGAUGCUAAGGCGUGAGCAAGAGCUCGAAAAUCCUUAGGCCCAAUUCCAAAAGAAAAGGUUUGAAAAUGAGGGGAUGGACAAAGUUGAUUAAGGAUUGCGAUAUCGGAUGUUAGGGUGUGAGAUAAGUCUCGAAAUUCCCUAAGCCCCAAAUAUGACUACAACUCUCUCUCACACUUUGGAAUCGAAGGCUGCGUCAAGCAGGAUGAAACUACUUGAUAAACCGAAAAUCGAUCAAUGGCUAACCACCAAAAUAUCGACAAAGUUCUUGAAGAACAAAAGAGAAAACUCAAAAGAGAGAUUUUAUAAAAGAUAAGUGAUGAUUAUUCUGAGUACAUCGAUGCUUUUUAUAUAGAGGCUAAAGGAGACCAUCGGUCAUACACAGUGAAUUAAAAGACAUUAAAUGAAACUAAAUGAAUCUAAAGAUACGUUGAAUAAUGAUUGGAUUUCCGGAUGACCCUUCGCGUCCUCUCGCUAGACUUUUGAGUUUCCUUGACCGUUAUACUUGGCCGCGAAUCGAUCCAUGGUCGUGAGAUAGGUGUGUAUUAACCUCGUUAAAACCUCAUUCGGAAAACCCAGUGGGACAAAACCGAAUGUAAGGAAAAAGAGUAUUAACACAACACCCCAACCAGGUCAGUUCGGACCAGAGUACAUGAGAACGGUCAUGACUUUGUGAAUGGGUGUUAGGUCGUCAGCUCGGCCUUGGUUCCUUAGCUCGGUGAGAACUUGCUGGAUUGCUCCUGUGAGCUUCUUGGUACGCGACCUGGUCAUCGGUCCAGUUGGCAUGGCCAGGACGUCGUUCUGGUCGG